rnacentral:rRNA from 1 species
GGGUUGUGAGGUUAAGCGACUAAGCGUACACGGUGGAUGCCCUGGCAGUCAGAGGCGAUGAAGGACGUGCUAAUCUGCGAUAAGCGUCGGUGAGGUGAUAUGAACCGUUAUAACCGGCGAUUUCCGAAUGGGGAAACCCAGUGUGAUUCGUCACACUAUCAUUAACUGAAUCCAUAGGUUAAUGAGGCGAACCGGGGGAACUGAAACAUCUAAGUACCCCGAGGAAAAGAAAUCAACCGAGAUUCCCCCAGUAGCGGCGAGCGAACGGGGAGGAGCCCAGAGCCUGAAUCAGUGUGUGUGUUAGUGGAAGCGUCUGGAAAGGCGCGCGAUACAGGGUGACAGCCCCGUACACAAAAAUGCACAUACUGUGAGCUCGAUGAGUAGGGCGGGACACGUGGUAUCCUGUCUGAAUAUGGGGGGACCAUCCUCCAAGGCUAAAUACUCCUGACUGACCGAUAGUGAACCAGUACCGUGAGGGAAAGGCGAAAAGAACCCCGGCGAGGGGAGUGAAAAAGAACCUGAAACCGUGUACGUACAAGCAGUGGGAGCCUCUUAAUGGGGUGACUGCGUACCUUUUGUAUAAUGGGUCAGCGACUUAUAUUCUGUAGCAAGGUUAACCGAAUAGGGGAGCCGAAGGGAAACCGAGUCUUAACUGGGCGUUAAGUUGCAGGGUAUAGACCCGAAACCCGGUGAUCUAGCCAUGGGCAGGUUGAAGGUUGGGUAACACUAACUGGAGGACCGAACCGACUAAUGUUGAAAAAUUAGCGGAUGACUUGUGGCUGGGGGUGAAAGGCCAAUCAAACCGGGAGAUAGCUGGUUCUCCCCGAAAGCUAUUUAGGUAGCGCCUCGUGAAUUCAUCUCCGGGGGUAGAGCACUGUUUCGGCAAGGGGGUCAUCCCGACUUACCAACCCGAUGCAAACUGCGAAUACCGGAGAAUGUUAUCACGGGAGACACACGGCGGGUGCUAACGUCCGUCGUGAAGAGGGAAACAACCCAGACCGCCAGCUAAGGUCCCAAAGUCAUGGUUAAGUGGGAAACGAUGUGGGAAGGCCCAGACAGCCAGGAUGUUGGCUUAGAAGCAGCCAUCAUUUAAAGAAAGCGUAAUAGCUCACUGGUCGAGUCGGCCUGCGCGGAAGAUGUAACGGGGCUAAACCAUGCACCGAAGCUGCGGCAGCGACACUAUGUGUUGUUGGGUAGGGGAGCGUUCUGUAAGCCUGUGAAGGUGGCCUGUGAGGGUUGCUGGAGGUAUCAGAAGUGCGAAUGCUGACAUAAGUAACGAUAAAGCGGGUGAAAAGCCCGCUCGCCGGAAGACCAAGGGUUCCUGUCCAACGUUAAUCGGGGCAGGGUGAGUCGACCCCUAAGGCGAGGCCGAAAGGCGUAGUCGAUGGGAAACAGGUUAAUAUUCCUGUACUUGGUGUUACUGCGAAGGGGGGACGGAGAAGGCUAUGUUGGCCGGGCGACGGUUGUCCCGGUUUAAGCGUGUAGGCUGGUUUUCCAGGCAAAUCCGGAAAACCAAGGCUGAGGCGUGAUGACGAGGCACUACGGUGCUGAAGCGACAAAUGCCCUGCUUCCAGGAAAAGCCUCUAAGCAUCAGGUAACAUUAAAUCGUACCCCAAACCGACACAGGUGGUCAGGUAGAGAAUACCAAGGCGCUUGAGAGAACUCGGGUGAAGGAACUAGGCAAAAUGGUGCCGUAACUUCGGGAGAAGGCACGCUGAUAUGUAGGUGAAGCGACUUGCUCGUGGAGCUGAAAUCAGUCGAAGAUACCAGCUGGCUGCAACUGUUUAUUAAAAACACAGCACUGUGCAAACACGAAAGUGGACGUAUACGGUGUGACGCCUGCCCGGUGCCGGAAGGUUAAUUGAUGGGGUUAGCGGCAACGCGAAGCUCUUGAUCGAAGCCCCGGUAAACGGCGGCCGUAACUAUAACGGUCCUAAGGUAGCGAAAUUCCUUGUCGGGUAAGUUCCGACCUGCACGAAUGGCGUAAUGAUGGCCAGGCUGUCUCCACCCGAGACUCAGUGAAAUUGAACUCGCUGUGAAGAUGCAGUGUACCCGCGGCAAGACGGAAAGACCCCGUGAACCUUUACUAUAGCUUGACACUGAACAUUGAGCCUUGAUGUGUAGGAUAGGUGGGAGGCUUUGAAGUGUGGACGCCAGUCUGCAUGGAGCCGACCUUGAAAUACCACCCUUUAAUGUUUGAUGUUCUAACGUGGGCCCCUUACCGGGGUUGCGGACAGUGUCUGGUGGGUAGUUUGACUGGGGCGGUCUCCUCCUAAAGAGUAACGGAGGAGCACGAAGGUUGGCUAAUCCUGGUCGGACAUCAGGAGGUUAGUGCAAUGGCAUAAGCCAGCUUGACUGCGAGCGUGACGGCGCGAGCAGGUGCGAAAGCAGGUCAUAGUGAUCCGGUGGUUCUGAAUGGAAGGGCCAUCGCUCAACGGAUAAAAGGUACUCCGGGGAUAACAGGCUGAUACCGCCCAAGAGUUCAUAUCGACGGCGGUGUUUGGCACCUCGAUGUCGGCUCAUCACAUCCUGGGGCUGAAGUAGGUCCCAAGGGUAUGGCUGUUCGCCAUUUAAAGUGGUACGCGAGCUGGGUUUAGAACGUCGUGAGACAGUUCGGUCCCUAUCUGCCGUGGGCGCUGGAGAACUGAGGGGGGCUGCUCCUAGUACGAGAGGACCGGAGUGGACGCAUCACUGGUGUUCGGGUUGUCAUGCCAAUGGCACUGCCCGGUAGCUAAAUGCGGAAGAGAUAAGUGCUGAAAGCAUCUAAGCACGAAACUUGCCCCGAGAUGAGUUCUCCCUGACCCUUUAAGGGUCCUGAAGGAACGUUGAAGACGACGACGUUGAUAGGCCGGGUGUGUAAGCGCAGCGAUGUGUUGAGCUAACCGGUACUAAUGAACCGUGAGGCUUAACCUUACAACGCCGAAG